GCUGAGGAGUCCAACAAUAGGACGAGACGCGCGUCC
rnacentral:hammerhead_ribozyme from 1 species